rnacentral:rRNA from 1 species
AUUGAACGCUGGCGGCAUGCCUUACACAUGCAAGUCGAACGGUAACAGGUUAAGCUGACGAGUGGCGAACGGGUGAGUAAUGUAUCGGAACGUGCCCAGUCGUGGGGGAUAACUGCUCGAAAGAGCAGCUAAUACCGCAUACGACCUGAGGGUGAAAGCGGGGGAUCGCAAGACCUCGCGCGAUUGGAGCGGCCGAUAUCAGAUUAGGUAGUUGGUGGGGUAAAGGCCUACCAAGCCUACGAUCUGUAGCUGGUCUGAGAGGACGACCAGCCCCACUGGGACUGAGACACGGCCCAGACUCCUACUGGAGGCAGCAGUGGGGAAUUUUGGCAAAUGGACGCAAGUCUGAUCCAGCCAUGCCGCGUGCGGGAAGAAGGCCUUCGGGUUGUAAACCGCUUUUGUCAGGGAAGAAAAGGUUCUGGUUAAUACCUGGGACUCAUGACGGUACCUGAAGAAUAAGCACCGGCUAACUACGUGCCAGCCGCCGCUGUAA